ensembl:snRNA U6 U6 spliceosomal RNA
GUGCUCACUUCAGCAACACAUAUAGUAAAAUUGAAAUGAUACAGAGAAGAUAAGCAUAUACCCUGCACAAGGAUGACAUGUAAAUUCAUGAAGUAUUCCAUAAAAAA